rnacentral:rRNA from 1 species
GUGGGGAAUAUUGGACAAUGGGCGCAAGCCUGAUCCAGCAAUGCCGCGUGGGUGAAGAAGGCCUUCGGGUUGUAAAGCCCUUUUGUACGGGAAGAAAUCAUCCGGGUUAAUACCCUGGGUGGAUGACGGUACCGUAAGAAUAAGCACCGGCUAACUUCGUGCCAGCAGCCGCGGUAAUACGAAGGGUGCAAGCGUUAAUCGGAAUUACUGGGCGUAAAGCGUGCGUAGGUGGUUGUUCAAGUCUGUCGUGAAAGCCCUGGGCUCAACCUGGGAAUGGCGAUGGAAACUGGGCGACUGGAGUGCGGUAGAGGAUGGCGGAAUUCCCGGUGUAGCGGUGAAAUGCGUAGAGAUCGGGAGGAACAUCCGUGGCGAAGGCGGCCAUCUGGACCAGCACUGACACUGAGGCACGAAAGCGUGGGGAGCAAACAGGAUUAGAAACCCUAGUAGUCC